UUUGCAUGUCAUUCCCGAUAAAUAUUCCCAAUAACCUGUAUAAAUACUUGUAGUAAAAUGUUAGUGACAAAUAAACGACUACCAAAAUAAAUUGAGAACGUAUGUGUGCAUAUAUGUAUAAAAAUAUAAUUUUUCGUUAGAAGGUAGGCUUAGAUUGAAUUUUAAAUAUGACAUGGCUACGAAAUGAUUUGCUGAUUUAUUAGUUGUCCUAAAUCAUCUUGUCAAGAUACGAAUCAUAAAACUUUUUGCGUUGUUAUUAAAAUUUUGUCAUUGCCCAAUUUUUUUUUUUUUUUUUUUUGCAUAUUUAUAUACAUAAUAUCCAUUUUUUAUUUAUGCAGACCUCGAAAAUUAAUGGAAAAUUUCUUCACCAACCAAAUAUUAAUAAUAUUUUCAAACCCAACAUUCAAUAAAACCAACAAAAUAGUACAAAAGUAAAUGGCAUAAAAUCAACAACAACCUGUAGCCAACGAUAACACAAUAAAUCCACUAUAAGUCCUUUAGAAAGUACAUGAAACCAAUUGAUAACAAUAUAAUAUUAUUAACAAAAAUAAGACAGCAAAUGGACAAACUAAUUUUCAAUGAAAAUAAAAUUUGAGCUCAUAACAAAACAAUCAACAACAAAAGCAAACAGUGGCGAAAUUUAAAGCAAAUAACCAAGCUCAAAAACGUUCACUAAAAAAUUAAAAGAAAUAAAUAAAUCAAAAGAUAAAAUAAAUGAUAACAAAAUAGAGUAAACAAAUAAUAAUAAAUGAGUAUACCCAUAUGCGGAUUCAAAAAUAAAGCUCUUCACGGGAACACAGUCAAAUAGUAGUUCGUAGUUGAAAACAUCAUCACCGGAGCACUGGAGUUUGCUGGAAAAUAUACAACUCUGGCUAAAUAAUAUUCGAAAUUAUAUUUUAACAAAUACAUUAAGAUGGAGGAGUGAUGAGUAGCGGCGUUGCUUCAACGGAGUUUCACCGGAGCAACGCCGGAGCAGAAGAUCUGGCCAGAUCUGAGCAUCAACAGUGAGAAAACCAUUUUCCCAUAAGCAAAAAAAUAAACCCAAAGGGAGAUGAGAGGGGACUGCCGUAAUGAUGGUGGUGACGCUGGUUGAUGCGUCGGAGCUUGGCCUGGCCGAUCAUCAAUUCCGGCGAGCCAGUGAAGAAAGUGAACCGGAAAGAGGGGAGAGGGAGGCGGUGGUGGCUGCAGGUGGGUGGUGGUCAUCGGGCGCCGGCCAUGGCUAUUGGCGGCAGUGAAUUUGGGAGAGAGAGAAAGAGGGAAGCCAUUAGUUUUGAGAGAGGGAGAGAGAAAAAGCCUGAUAUUCGUGCGUGUAUCUGCAUGGAUUGUG
rnacentral:lncRNA from 1 species